rnacentral:lncRNA from 1 species
GGGGCAGAUUGUUAAAAUUUUUAGGUCACAUAUAGACACAAAAACAAACAUAGACACACAAAGAUAGUCAUAGACAUAGAUACACAAACACACACAGACACAUAAAAACACAUACAAACACACAUACACAGGCACAAACACAAACACACAUACACAGACACAAACAGAAACACUAAUAUAAACACAUACACAAAUAUAGACAUAGACAUACACACAUAUACACAGACAGAGAUAUACAUCCAUAAACACACACAUACACACUCACACACACGUACAUUGAUGAGUGAAUAUUUUUGUCCUCAUUUAGUCUUUAAUAUUGGAUUCUUAAUUGAUUUUUUACUUUAAUAGAAUAUUUAGCAUGAG